GGAAACGAUAGCUAAUACCGCAUAAUAGUGGAUGUUGCAUGACAUUUGCUUAAAAGGUGCAAUUGCAUCACUACCAGAUGGACCUGCGUUGUAUUAGCUAGUUGGUGGGGUAACGGCUCACCAAGGCACGAUACAUAGCCGACCUGAGAGGGUGAUCGGCCACACUGGGACUGAGACACGGCCCAA
rnacentral:rRNA from 1 species